rnacentral:sRNA from 1 species
UGUCUGAAUGAGCUGAAAUCGGCGUUGA